AUGAACGCUGGCGGCGUGCCUAAUACAUGCAAGUCGCGCGAACGGACGAGAAGCUUGCUUCUCUGAUGUUAGCGGCGGACGGGUGAGUAACACGUGGAUAACCUACCUAUAAGACUGGGAUAACUUCGGGAAACCGGAGCUAAUACCGGAUAAUAUUUUGAACCGCAUGGUUCAAAAGUGAAAGACGGUCUUGCUGUCACUUAUAGAUGGAUCCGCGCUGCAUUAGCUAGUUGGUAAGGUAACGGCUUACCAAGGCAACGAUGCAUAGCCGACCUGAGAGGGUGAUCGGCCACACUGGAACUGAGACACGGUCCAGACUCCUACGGGAGGCAGCAGUAGGGAAUCUUCCGCAAUGGGCGAAAGCCUGACGGAGCAACGCCGCGUGAGUGAUGAAGGUCUUCGGAUCGUAAAACUCUGUUAUUAGGGAAGAACAUAUGUGUAAGUAACUGUGCACAUCUUGAUGGUACCUAAUCAGAAAGCCACGGCUAACUACGUG
rnacentral:rRNA from 1 species